rnacentral:rRNA from 1 species
GACGAACGCUGGCGGCGUGCUUAACACAUGCAAGUCGAACGGAGUGGCAAACGGGUGAGUAACACGUGGGUGAACUGCCCUGCAAUUCGGGAUAAGCCUGGGAAACUGGGUCUAAUACCGGAUAGUGUGGGUUGGGCCCGCGGCCAAUAAGCUUGUUGGUGGGGUAAUGGCCUACCAAGGCGGCGACGGGUAGCCGGCAUGAGAGGGUGGACGGCCACAUGUGGACUGAGACACGGCCCAGAUGCCGACUGUAGGCAGCAGGGGUGAAUAUGGCACAAUCGGCGGAAGCCUGAUGCAGCGACGCCGCGUGGGGGAUGACGGCUUUCGGGUUGUAAACUCCUUUCACCAUCGACGCGGUAGAUGGAGAAGAAGCACCGGCUAACUACGUGCCAGCAGCCGCGGUAAUUC